GGACUACCGGGGUUUCUAAUCCUGUUCGCUCCCCACGCUUUCGCGUCUCAGCGUCAGUACCGUCCCAGAGAGCCGCCUUCGCCACGGGUGUUCUUCCCGAUAUCUGCGCAUUUCACCGCUACACCGGGAAUUCCACUCUCCUCUUCCGGACUCUAGCCAGGUGGUUUCAACCGACGUCUCGAGGUUGAGCCUCGAGUUUUCACAGCUGACCUUCCAAGCCGCCUACACGCUCUUUACGCCCAAUAAAUCCGGACAACGCUUGCCCCCUACGUAUUACCGCGGCUGCUGGCAC
rnacentral:rRNA from 1 species